rnacentral:piRNA from 1 species
UGCCACUUUAAUGUUGGUACUACCACAGGC